rnacentral:tRNA from 1 species
GGCUGGAUAGCUCAGUGGUUAGAGCAUCUGGGAUUUCAUCAGAAGAUCCUGGGUUCAAUUCCCAGUCUGGACA